rnacentral:rRNA from 1 species
UGGGGAAUAUUGCACAAUGGGCGCAAGCCUGAUGCAGCCAUGCCGCGUGUAUGAAGAAGGCCUUCGGGUUGUAAAGUACUUUCAGCGGGGAGGAAGGCGAUGUGGUUAAUAACCGCGUCGAUUGACGUUACCCGCAGAAGAAGCACCGGCUAACUCCGUGCCAGCAGCCGCGGUAAUACGGAGGGCGCAAGCGUUAAUCGGAAUUACUGGGCGUAAAGCGCACGCAGGCGGUCUGUCAAGUCGGAUGUGAAAUCCCCGGGCUCAACCUGGGAACUGCAUCCGAAACUGGCAGGCUUGAGUCUCGUAGAGGGGGGUAGAAUUCCAGGUGUAGCGGUGAAAUGCGUAGAGAUCUGGAGGAAUACCGGUGGCGAAGGCGGCCCCCUGGACGAAGACUGACGCUCAGGUGCGAAAGCGUGGGGAGCAAACA